rnacentral:rRNA from 1 species
UACGUAGGUCCCGAGCGUUGUCCGGAUUUAUUGGGCGUAAAGCGAGCGCAGGUGGUCUAUUAAGUCUGGUGUAAAAGGCAGUGGCUCAACCAUUGUAUGCAUUGGAAACUGGUAGACUUGAGUGCAGGAGAGGAGAGUGGAAUUCCAUGUGUAGCGGUGAAAUGCGUAGACAUAUGGAGGAACACCGGUGGCGAAAGCGGCUCUCUGGCCUAUAACUGACACUGAGGCUCGAAAGCGUGGGGAGCAAACAGG